GUGGGAAUAGCUCAGUGGUAGAGCCCGUGCUUAGCGUGCGCGAAGUCCUGGGUUCAAUCCCCAGUACCUCCA
rnacentral:tRNA from 1 species